rnacentral:rRNA from 1 species
CUCGGGAAACUGAGGGUAAUACCCCAUAGGUCUAUUUUGCUGGAAUGCUAAUAGGCCGAAAACUCCGGUGCCUUAGGAUUGGUCUGCGGUCUAUCAGGCUGUAGUGGGUGUAAUGGACCCACUAGCCCGUGACGGAUAUGGGCCUUGAGAGAGGGAGCCCAGAGAUGAACUCUGAGACAUGAGUCCAGGCCCUACGGGGCGCAGCAGUCGCGAAAACUUCGCAAUGGGGGCAACCCCGACGAGGGAAUUCCAAGUGCUAGCACUUUGUGUUAGCUGUUCUUCUGUCUAAAAAACAGGAGGAGUAAGGGGCGGGUAAGACGGGUGCCAGCCGCCGCGGUAAUACCCGCGCCCCAAGUGGUGGUCGAUAUUAUUGAGCCUAAAACGUCCGUAGCCGGUCUUCUAAAUCCUUGGGUAAAUCGGGCAGCUUAACUGUCCGAAGUCCGGGGAGACUGGGAGACUUGGGACCGGGAGAGGUCAGAGGUACUUCUGGGGUAGGGGUAAAAUCCUGUAAUCCUGGAAGGACCACCGGUGGCGAAGGCGUCUGACUAGAACGGAUCCGACGGUGAGGGACGAAGCCCUGGGGCGCAAACGGGAUUAGAUACCCCGGUAGUCCAGGGUGUAAACGCUGCGGGCUUGGUGUUGGGGGUCCUUAGUGGGCACCCAGUGCCGGAGAGAAGUUGUUAAGCCUGCUGCUUGGGGAGUA